CCCCGCCUACGGGAGGCAGCAGUGGGGAAUAUUGCACAAUGGGGGAAACCCUGAUGCAGCAACGCCGCGUGAGUGAAGAAGUAUUUCGGUAUGUAAAGCUCUAUCAGCAGGGAAGAAAAUGACGGUACCUGAGUAAGAAGCCCCGGCUAACUACGUGCCAGCAGCCGCGGUAAUACGUAGGAUCCGAGCGUUAUCCGGAUUCAUUGGGUUUAAAGGGUGCGUAGGUUGUUUUAUAAGUUAGCGGUGAAAUACCGAUGCUCAACAUCGGGGCUGCCGCUGAUACUGUAGGACUAGAGAUCGGAUGG
rnacentral:rRNA from 1 species